GACGAACGCUGGCGGCGUGCCUAAUACAUGCAAGUCGAACGCACAGUUUAUACCGUAGCUUGCUACACCAUAAACUGUGAGUUGCGAACGGGUGAGUAACGCGUAGGUAACCUGCCUGGUAGCGGGGGAUAACUAUUGGAAACGAUAGCUAAUACCGCAUAAUAUUGAUUAUUGCAUGAUAAUUGAUUGAAAGAUGCUAUUGCAUCACUACCAGAUGGACCUGCGUUGUAUUAGCUAGUAGGUGAGGUAACGGCUCACCUAGGCGACGAUACAUAGCCGACCUGAGAGGGUGAUCGGCCACACUGGGACUGAGACACGGCCCAGACUCCUACGGGAGGCAGCAGUAGGGAAUCUUCGGCAAUGGACGAAAGUCUGACCGAGCAACGCCGCGUGAGUGAAGAAGGUUUUCGGAUCGUAAAGCUCUGUUGUAAGAGAAGAACGGGUGUGAGAGUGGAAAGUUCACACUGUGACGGUAGCUUACCAGAAAGGGACGGCUAACUACGUG
rnacentral:rRNA from 1 species